UACAGAGGUCCCAAGCGUUGUUCGGAUUCACUGGGCGUAAAGGGUGCGUAGGUGGUGGGGUAAGUCGGAUGUGAAAGCUCGGAGCUCAACUCCGAAAUGGCAUUGGAAACUACCCUGCUAGAGGAUUGGAGGGGGGACUGGAAUACUUGGUGUAGCAGUGAAAUGCGUAGAUAUCAAGUGGAACACCAGUGGCGAAGGCGAGUCCCUGGACAAUACCUGACACUGAGGCACGAAGGCUAGGGGAGCGAACAGG
rnacentral:rRNA from 1 species